rnacentral:rRNA from 1 species
GACGAACGCUGGCGGCGUGCCUAAUACAUGCAAGUAGAACGCUGAAGGAGGAGCUUGCUCUUCUGGAUGAGUUGCGAACGGGUGAGUAACGCGUAGGUAACCUGCCUGGUAGCGGGGGAUAACUAUUGGAAACGAUAGCUAAUACCGCAUAAGAGUAGAUGUUGCAUGACAUUUACUUAAAAGGUGCAAUUGCAUCACUACCAGAUGGACCUGCGUUGUAUUAGCUAGUUGGUGGGGUAACGGCUUACCAAGGCGACGAUACAUAGCCGACCUGAGAGGGUGAUCGGCCACACUGGGACUGAGACACGGCCCAGACUCCUACGGGAGGCAGCAGUAGGGAAUCUUCGGCAAUGGACGGAAGUCUGACCGAGCAACGCCGCGUGAGUGAAGAAGGUUUUCGGAUCGUAAAGCUCUGUUGUAAGAGAAGAACGAGUGUGAGAGUGGAAAGUUCACAAUGUGACGGUAGCUUACCAGAAAGGGACGGCUAACUACGUG